AAAUAUCUUGGUCAGUUCAACACGAGCCAGUAUUGUGUAAUUUUUGAUAGAAAGAACAUUGUAAAGGAAUAUGAAGCAAAAUAAAAUUAAAUAUAAAAACCAAUUAUUGUCAAUAAUUGGAUGCCUGUGUAUCUUAAAUAUUGUAAUCCUGCUGAUGAGGGGCAUGAUGGCCCGAAACAUGGAUGUUGAUCAUUGUAUGUGUACAGAUAGCUUAAUAAAGAAAGUCUG